UUAGAGAAGAGAAAGGAGAGGAGAAAGCUCUUGAAUGUUCGGUCACUUGGGGAAGAAAAUUGAAGGUAAGUUCAUGGUAGUUUGCUUCUAUCUUGAUGUUCAUGAGUUCUUCUUGAUUCUACCUUAACUCUUGAAGCAUAUUUUGGUUUUUAGUUGUGUUGUGAGCAUUUAGUCAUGAAUUAAAAUGAAGGAAAUGGUUGUUGUUUCAUGUUCUUUUGAUGAAAUAUGGAAGAUAGGUGAAGUUGAGCCAAACAAAUGAGCAUGCAUGUGCCUUAGAUGCUAAGGGGAAAAAUCGGCUAACAUGUUGUGCUUUAAAAUGAUGAAAUAGAGAUUAUACUUAAGUAAAAUCAUAUAUAUGUGAUGAUUGAUUGGUGAUAUACAUGUUUAAAUAACAAGCAUGCAAGUUAGGUGUGAAAGAGUGAUUUGGUAAUAAAUCUGCUUGGGACAGCAGUAGUAACGUGACUUUGGAAAAUCACCAUAAAUUGUGCGAGAUGAGUUAGAAGCUGCAUAAAUUAUGUAAUUAAAGAUUAAUGAGUCUAGUUUCAAAUGGACUAAACGAGAACAUAUUUUGAAUUCUGUAAAAUGAGAAAUUUGAUUCGUAAUAAAGAGUGGUCAGAUUAGUCAAACAGUGAAACAUGGGAAACUUUAAGAAAAAUCUGGUAUUGAUUGGCCAUACCAAAAAUUCUUAAAAUUUUAUGGAUAGAAGAUAUAUGAGUCUAUUUUCAGGGAAAAUUAACGACACUUGAUUUUGAGUUUCGUAGCUCCAGUUAUAAAUAAUUUAGUGACGGUUGCUCAGGAAGAUAACUUGCAGUGAAAUUAUGAUUAUAUGGUAAACAUUGAAAAAAAAUUGUUAAUGAGUUGCUUAUUGUUUUCUUAUAAGCUUACUCUGAUCUGUAGGUGUGGUUGGCCGAAUAUUGUAAGGGGUUAAUACGUAGUUCGUAUUUGAAUAGUUAGAUUAACGUGUUAGUAAUCCAAUUGUAGGCGUUUCGUGUGUGGAUCUCGUCAGCAUAUCGUCGCAAACAGGUGUGUAACUGACACCCUCUCAUAGACUAGAUUGGCAAAAGCCAAAAAGCCGAAAUGCCGAAAAGUCGAUAUUUUGGGAAUUUGCGAGUGUGCGAAUGCUCGUAAGAUAGUUGGGUUUGUAUAUUUGGUGAUCUAAAGUAAUAAACUGCAGUACGCGCGAUUUCGUACAUUUUGAUAAUUUGGACUUAAUGGGCCAAAGAUCGGGUUCAUGGGCCAACGGGCCCAAUGCGGUAAGUAUGCACGGUAAGUGUUCUGAUAGUACAUAAAUAGUUAGGAUAUGCAUGAAAACCUUAAAAGUAGCUAAAUUACUAUAAUACCCUUAUGUAUGGAAAAUUACUUUUAUACCCCCUAGGUGCAAAAUUAUCGUUAUACCCCUAGGGUUAAUUUUGACUGAAAAGCAUGACGAUCUGAUUCUGUAUGAUGUAUGCCAUGAUUAUAUAUCUGUUGCAUGGGGACACGGGUUAUAUUAUGGAGGAAGCGUCCUGGUGGCUAUGCCACAAUUAUCUGAUCUGGUGGCUCUGCCACAUAUAUCUAUUCUGGUGGCUAUGCCACGAUUAUCUAAUCUGGUGGCUCUGCCACAUAUAUCUGUUCUGGUGGCUCUGCCACAAUAUCUAUAUCUAGUGACUUCUUCACAAUAUCUGGCAGCCUCGCUGCGAUUUCUGUGGUGUGUAGCGGUUGGAUGGGUCGAGUAGUCUCCCCACAUGGUGUAAGGCUGGUACGGGGGUGUUAUGGAUGAAUCUGGGUUGGGUUUCUGCAUAAACUUGUAAUAUCUGUUCUGUUCUGUUAUGAGCCUAUGGGCUUUAUUCUGAAGUUCUGUUCUGGGCUAAGGCCAACUUAUUCUGUUUCUGUGGGUUGAGCUGAUUUAGACUAUGGUUGGGUUAUUUUACACACUGAGUUUCCCCAAACUCACCCCUUUUAUUUUCAUCCACGCAGGUAAUCCCCAACUAUAGUGGGCUUGGAGCUGUGAGGGAAUUCGGAGUGGCCACCCGUUCUGAAAGCUUGAUUUUCUUCUAGUGAACUAGACAUUCUUUUAAUUACGUUUGAGGUUUUGGGCUUUUAAAUGUAAUAAGACCGCUUAUUUAUUUUUGAUGGUUUUUAUAUGUUUUAUUAAGAUAGGUAAUAUUUAUAUUUAACUGUUGAAAUUGGAUAACUUUAGAGCACGUUUUAAAAAAAACAGUAAUUAAUUUCAAAAUAACACGAAAAUAAGCAAAGCUUCCGCAAUGAAGAUAUUUUCCAAAAUUAAUCACUUUUCCUAAAAACGACUUAAUAAAAUCGAUUUUUUAGAAAUAUACAUGACGUUAAGGUAUGGCAAUGGUGGUUUGCAUGUCUAGGAUUGGAUCCGAAGGGAGUUUGGUACUUAAGCAGUCCAAUGGACUCACCUCCUCUUUUCCAGUUUCCUACCUGGUGCACAGCUUCCAUUCACUUUAACCUAUAAUGAAAUCAUCUUUUAAAACACUCAGUAAGUUUUCUUUCUGGAUCGAAAAUGUUUUGAAUGCUUCGAUGUGGCAUGUCGGAUUCGGCCAUAACGUCUGGGCCAAGUAAGGGGUGUUACAUUUAGUGGUAUCAGACCCUCGGUUGCAACAACUCAGCUGUGGAAUGGGUUUAUAAAAAAAACAAAGAUUUUCAAAAAAAAAUUUUUUUUAUAAAGAUUGCGAAAAAUGCGAUUUUCAAAAUUUAGAUCUUUAGAAGGUGGCAUUCCGAAUCUUCGGCCCAAGCCUAUAAGUAUUACUCUGAAAUUUUCUGAAUAUUCUCCUGAAUUAUCUGUCUGUACUGAAACCCUAUUAGGAUACUCUAGAUAGGAUGAUACUGAAACCAUAGGAAAAAUUGAUAAGAGAUUGAAACUAUAGCUAGACUUCGAUUCUGCGAAAACAAACUUUGAAUUACUGUCUGAUUCAUAAAACAUCUGUAAUAAUCACUGGAAUACUAAGUUAAUCAUAAAAUUCGUAAACAGAUAAUACGAUAUGAGUACAAGAGCUACUCGUGGAAGAGGCCGUGGACGUGGCCGAGGAAGGGCUCGAGUGGUAUCUUCGUCUUUGGGACAUAUGCCAGCGGCAGAUGCACCGGUACCAUCGGCAACAGAAGUGGAGUCUCAUGAUCGUGGUGCCGGGGAUGACGCUCUAUCACAGGCAAUGCUUCGUAUUCUGGAAAGGGUUACCUGGACAAGUUCGGGCAACGGAAUUCGAGGAUCGAUUUCUGAACGACUCCGGGCCAACGGAGCGGAGAUCUUUAGGGGUGUGUCUGGUAUCACUUCAAAUGUGGCAGAAUAUUGGUUGGAGGCCACAGAACGAAUUAUGGAUAACUUGGAUUGCUCUGUGGAGCAGAAGCUGAAGGGAGCCGUAUCGUUGCUACGGGACGAGGCUUACCAGUGGUGGCUCACUGUGAGAGAAGGAACCCCAGCUGAUAGGGUAACUUGGGGCGAGUUAUGUGGACGCCCGCAGAAAGGAAUUCUUGAAUCUGGUGCAAGGAGGUAAAACAGUUGCCGAGUACGAGGCCGAGUUUCUGAGGUUGAGCCGGUAUGCCAUGGGCAUAGUUGCUACGGAGUAUGAGCGAAGUGUGCGCUUCGAGGAUGGUCUUAGAGAUGACCUCAGAGUGGUGAUCGCUCCACAAGGGGAGCGAGACUUCACGGUCUUGGUGGAGAAGGCAAGGAUCGCUGAGGAGGAUAAGCGUGUUGAAAAGCAAAAUCGGGAGAAGGAUCGAAACUGUUUCUGGAGGGAUUCAGGACCCUCGGGUGGUGCAAAUAGGAUUAUUAAGAGAGCAAGAGUGGAGGAACCAGUUCGAGUAGUGCCGAUGAAUGUGGUCAGACCAUCAAUCUGUGGAGACUGUGGUAAGGUACAUUUGGGCGAGUGUAGGAAACGCUCUGGUGCUUAUUUUUGAUGUGGAUCUAUGGAGCAUAGAGUACGGGAUUGCCCUCAGAAAGCUGAUCAGGUUCAAGUUGCUGAACAGAGGAUUGCUCAACCCGUCGGGGUCGGGUGGCACCUGGCAGGGGUGUCGAAAAUGCUGAAGCUCGACAGCCAGCUUUGGUGGAUGCAGCUUGUUGUUGAGAGGAGGGCGACGCACCUGACGUCAUAACUGGUACGUUCUUGGUUUCUGGCAUUCCAUAUACUACUUUGGUGGAUAUUGGAUCUACUCAUUCCUAUGUUGCAUGUGCCAUAUAUGGGUUGUUAGGUGUACACUCUGAGAAGAUGGUGAGUGGGGUAUCUGUACUAAGUCCUUUGGGUCACUCGGUUAGGGUAGACAAACUGUAUAGGGAUGUACCCUUAGAAACUCAAUGUAGGAUUUUCCUUGGAGAUCUGAUAGAGUUACCAUUCGGAGAGUUUGAUCUCAUUUUGGGAAUGGACUGGCUUGUUAAGCAUAAAGCGACUCUGGAUUGUGCUGUUAAACGAAUGGUGUUAAGGACAACAAAUGAUAAGGAGGUUAUAGUGAUAGGUGAGCGAAGGGAUUAUUUGUCCAAUGUGGUGUCGGCAUUAAGAGCCGAAAAAUGGAUUCGGAAAGGUUGUGAGGUCUAUUUGACAUUCAUAAGUAAGUCAGAAGAGGAGGGAUUGCCAGUGGAUAAGGUCAGGACUAUAAAGGAGUUCCAAGAUGUUUUUUCGGAGGAGCUUCCAAGAUUGCCUCCGAACCGAGAAGUGGAGUUUGGAAUCGACUUAUUGCCUGGAACGGCACCAGUGUCUAUCGCACCGUAUAGAAUGGCACCGAAGGAGUUGGUGGAGCUAAAGGCACAAAUUCAAGAGUUGUUGGAUAGGGGCUUCAUUAGGCCAAGCGUGUCUCCAUGGGGAGCACCGGUGCUAUUCGUGAAGAAGAAGGAUGGUACAAUGCGGAUGUGCAUUGAUUAUCGCCAGUUGAACAAACUGACAAUUAAGAAAAAGUAUCCACUUCCAAGGAUUGACGAUUUGUUUGACCAACUUAGAAGGGCUUCUGUAUUUUCUAAGAUCGACCUCCGAUCUGGAUAUCAUCAGUUAAGGGUCAAGGAAGCAGAUAUCCAUAAGACGGCAUUCAGGACUCGGUAUGGUCAUUACGAGUUAUUGGUUAUGCCAUUUGGACUGACGAACACUCCUACAGCAUUUAUGGAUCUGAUGAAUUGUGUGUUCCAACCAUUUUUAGAUCAGUUCGUAGUCGUCUUUAUUGAUGAUAUCCUGGUAUAUUCUGAAAUUGAAGCGAAACAUGAUGAGCAUCUCCGUAUAGUGCUGCGAGUGUUAAGGGAGAAGGAACUCUUUGCGAAGUUCAGCAAGUGUGAAUUUUGGUUGAGGGAGGUAACCUUCUUAGGACAUGUGGUCUCUGCCGAAGGGAUUAAGGUGGACCCUCGAAAGAUUGAAGCAAUUUUGGAGUGGAAGCCACCUAGGACGGUGUCGGAAAUUUAAAGUUUCCUAGGGUUGGCAGGAUACUAUAGAAGGUUUGUGGAAGGUAUUUCUGUGAUGGCAGCACCUCUGACAAAACUCAUAAGGAAAGGGGUACCGUUUGUAUGGACUGAGACCCAGCAGUAGGCUUUUGAAAAGUUGAAGAAAGUUCUGACUGAAGCACCUGUGUUAAUUCAGCCAGAGUCUGGGAAGGAUUUUACUGUGUACAGUGACGCAUCACAUGUAGACUUGGGCUGCGUGUUAAUGCAGGAGGGUAAGGUGGUUGCAUAUGCAUCACGACAACUUAAACCUCACGAAAGGGAACUAUCUUACUCAUGAUUUGGAGUUGGCGGCAGUGAUAUUUGCACUUAAGAUUUGGAGACAUUACUUUUACGGGGAGAGGUGUAUUAUAUACACAGACCACAAGGGUCUUAAGUAUUUGUUGACUCAAAAGGAGCUGAACCUUAGGCAAAGGAGAUGGAUUGAGUUGCUUAAGGAUUAUGACUAUUUGAUCGAGUAUCACCAGGCAAGGUUAAUGUGGUAGCCGAUGCUCUAAGUCGUAGAACUGUAUCUGAUCUGAGAGCAAUGUUUGCUUGUCUAAGUCUGUAUGAUGAUAGAAGUCUGUUGGCUGAGUUGCAAGUGAGGCAAACCUGGGUGGAUCAGAUUAAGGAAAAGUAGUUGAACGAUAAGUCUUUGGUCACUCGUUUUCAACAAGUUAAGGAAGGGGAAACUUCUGAGUUUGGGUUAAAUGGCGAAGGAGUUCUGUGUUUCCGAGGAAGAAUUUGUGUUCCAAAGGACUUUGAUUUGAGGCAGACAAUAUUGAAGGAAACUGAUGGAGGACUUUGUGCCAUGCACCCUGGAGGGAACAAGUUGUAUCACGACUUACAAGAAUUGUACUGGUGGCCUGGACUUAAGCGAGAAGUAACGGAGUUUGUAGGGAAAUGUCUGACAUGCCAGCAAGUGAAAGCUGAGCAUCAAUUACCCUCUGGACUGUUAAAGUCAGUGAAGAUACCACUUUAGAAGUGGGAGAGGGUAACCAUGGACUUUGUAAGUGGGCUGCCCUUAACACCAUCAAAGAAAGACUCGGUGUGGGUGAUUGUGGAUAGGUUGACCAAAUCGGCCCAUUUCAUACCUGUUCGUACUAACUUUUCACUUCAAAAGUUAGCCAAGUUGUAUGUGGCAGAGAUUGUGCGACUUCAUGGUGUCCCAAUUUCAAUUAUUUCUGAUCGGGAUCCCAGAUUUACAUCUCGGUUUUGGCAAAGGUUUCAUGAGGCAUUAGGGACGCGAUUGAAUUUUAGUACGGCUUUCUAUCCCCAGACUGAUGGUCAAUCAGAAAGGGUUAUUCAGAUUCUGGAGGACAUGUUGAGGGGAUGCGUGAUUGACUUUCGAGGUAGUUGGGAGGAUUACUUGCCGUUGGCAGAAUUUGCGUACAAUAACAGUCACCAAGCGAGUAUUCGAAUGGCAACGUAUGAAGCACUGUAUGGAUGCAGGUGUCGUACACCUAGUUGUUGGACUGAACUAGGAGAGCGACAAGUUCUUGGACCAGAGUUGGUAGCUAAUACUGAGGAUAAGGUCAGAAUAAUUAGGGACCGGUUAAAAGAAGCAUCUGAUAGGCAAAAGUCGUAUGCAGAUUUAAAGCGUAAGGAGAUUGAGUACUCAGUAGGUGAUAUGGUCUUCUUAAAGGUUUCUCCUUGGAAGAAGAUAUUAAGGUUCGGUAAGAAGAGAAAGUUAAGUCCACGGUUCAUUGGGCCUUAUCAGGUUUUGAAGCGAGUAGGCCCAGUGGCUUAUCAGUGUGAAUUGCCUCCAGAGUUAGACAGGAUUCAUGAUGUUUUUCACGUCUCCAUGUUAAGGCGUUAUCAUGCUGACCCUGCUCAUGUCCUGCCAGUUGUAGAAAUUGAAGUUCAGACUGAUUUGACCUUUGAGGAGGAGCCUAUGCAAAUAUUGGCUCGAGAUGUUAAGGUCCUCAGAAGGGAAUCUGUCCCAUUAGUGAAAGUACUUUGGUGUAAUCAUGGAAGGGAAGAAGCUACUUGGGAAUUAGAAGAGACUAUGCGUCAACAAUACCCUCAACUAGUUGGAUCAGGUAAAUUUGGAGGACGAAAUUUCUUUAAGGAGGGUAGAGUUGUAACGCCCCAAUUUUUGGGAAUUCUGUGAAUGUUGGCAUAGGUUUAAUUAUGUUGGUGGGCCUCUAAAAGGCCCAAGUUUAAGAUAGAACCCGACAAUUUUAGUUAAUUUUUGUUCCAUAAGAAAAAUGGGGUGAAAUUAUGAAAUAGAACCUAUGUGAAAAUGUUUGAAAAUGCUAUAGGCUAAAUUGAAGUGGCCAAAUAAAUAGGAGUGCAAAAUAGGAGGAUUUGCAUGACAAACCACCCAUUUUAUAUGAAGUGGCCACCCAUCAUGUUAUUGUAGACCAUAUGAGCACUUGAUAUCCAUAAUUCAUGGUACAAAUUGAUAAUGGGUUAGGUAAAUGUUCCAUGAUAAUGGAUUAGGUAAAUAUUCCAUGAUAAUGGGUUAGGUAAAUGUUCCAUGAUAAUGGUUUAGGUAAAUGUUCCAUGAUGGGCAUUUCAUGUCUUUUGUAUUAAAGAAUUAAAUGGAUGAAAUAUGAAAUUUUAUUAAAAGAAAAAGGGGUGAAAAGAACAAAGUUUUGUCUAUCUUUGUUCAUCAUAGCCGAAAGUUAGAGAAGAGAAAUGAGAGGAGAAAGCUCUUGAAUGUUCGGUCACUUGGGGAAGAAAAUUGAAGGUAAGUUCAUGGUAGUUUGCUUCUAUCUUGAUGUUCAUGAGUUCUUCUUGAUUUUACCUUAACUCUUGAAGUAUAUUUUGGUUUUUAGUUGUGUUGUGAGCAUUUAGUCAUGAAUUAAAAUGAAGGAAAUGGUUGUUGUUUCAUGUUCUUUUGAUGAAAAAUGGAAG
rnacentral:lncRNA from 1 species